GGAACCAUGCGAUCAAGCGCCGCCUAACCCCGCCAGGUUCGGAAGGAAGCAACGGUAAGUGGCAGCUUGUUGCGCCGUGGAGCAGGU
rnacentral:SRP_RNA from 1 species